rnacentral:rRNA from 1 species
GUGCAGCCGUACGCGCUCGCGCGUCUAGGUGAAACCGCGAAAGGCUCAUUAAAUCAGUUAUGGUUCCUUGGAUCGUACCGCUCAGUUACUUGGAUAACUGUGGUAAUUCUAGAGCUAAUACAUGCCGACAGAGUUCCGACCGUCUUCGCGGGCGGGAGGAACGCUUUUAUUAGAUCAAAACCCAUCGGGCUCGGUCGCUUGCGGCCGGUCCGACAACACUCGGUCCGCUUCGCGCGGGCCGACCAAGUGGUGACUCUGAAUAACUUUGUGCUGAUCGCACGGUCUCCGUACUGGCGAUGCAUCUUUCAAAUGUCUGCCUUAUCAACUGUCGAUGGUAGGUUAUGCGCCUACCAUGGUGGUAACGGGUGACGGGGGAUUAGGGUUCGAUCCCGGAGAGGGAGCCUGAGAAACGGCUACCACAUCCAAGGAAGGCAGCAGGCACGCAAAUUACCCACUCCCAGCUCAGGGGAGGUAGUGACGAAAUAUAACGAUACGGGACUCAUCCGAGGCCUCGUAAUCGGAAUGAGUACACUCUAAAAC